AGAUCGCGGGCGAGCGGAGCGCAACACUCGCUUGGUUGGGGAGAUCGGCGCUUGGCCGGUGAGAAUAGCCAAGAGUUCAGCCCCACCUUUUCAGAACGCAUUUUCAUCGCUGGGUCCAAACAGUACAGCCAGUCCGAGAGUCUUGAUCAGAUCCCCAACAAUGUGGCCCAUGCUACAGAGGGCAAAAUGGCCCGUGUGUGUUGGAAGGGAAAGCGUCGCAGCAAAGCCCGGAAGAAACGGAAGAAGAAGAGCUCAAAGUCCCUGGCUCAUGCAGGAGUGGCCUUGGCCAAACCCCUCCCCAGGACCCCUGAGCAGGAGAGCUGCACCAUCCCAGU
rnacentral:lncRNA from 1 species